rnacentral:rRNA from 1 species
GACGAACGCUGGCGGCGUGCUUAACACAUGCAAGUCGAACGAUGAAGAAAAGAAUCGAAGCUUCGGCAGAAAUUCAUUUCGGAUUAGUGGCAGACGGGUGAGUAACGCGUGAGCAACCUACCUCUUACAAAGGGAUAGCCUCGGGAAACCGGGAUUAAUACCAUAUAACAUUGCGACGAAGCAUUUCGAUGCAAUCAAAGCUACGGCGGUAAGAGAUGGGCUCGCGUCCCAUUAACCGGAUGGUGAGGUAACGGCUCACCAUAGUGACGAUGGGUAACCGGCCUGAGAGGGUGAACGGUCACACUGGAACUGAGACACGGUCCAGACUCCUACGGGAGGCAGCAGUGGGGAAUAUUGCACAAUGGAGGGAACUCUGAUGCAGCGACGCCGCGUGAGUGAUGAAGGAAUUCGGUUCGUAAAACUCUGUUCUAUGGGAAGAAAAGGACUGUACCAUAGGAGAAAGCUCCGGCUAAAUACGUG